GCCACACUGGGACUGAGACACGGCCCAGACUCCUACGGGAGGCAGCAGUGGGGAAUAUUGGACAAUGGGGGCAACCCUGAUCCAGCCAUGCCGCGUGUGUGAAGAAGGCCUUUUGGUUGUAAAGCACUUUAAGCAGGGAGGAGAGGCUAAUGGUUAAUACCCAUUAGAUUAGACGUUACCUGCAGAAUAAGCACCGGCUAACUCUGUGCCAGCAGCCGCGGUAAUACA
rnacentral:rRNA from 1 species